ACUAUACAGAGACGCAAGCAAAGAAUCCAAAAAUGGAUUUUGCCGAGCAGGAAGUUGAUUUAUUUGGGGAAGACUACGACGACGAUCGAGGAGAAGACAGAGAGAACAAUGGGACCCAUCGAUCAUCCCCCUCUUCCUCUUCUUCAUCAUCGUCUUCCAGUUCAUCGUCCUCUUCGGCGGCUUCUUCUUCAUCCAAGAGCAGUGAUGAUGGUGGAGAAAGCAGCACCGGUGGUAGUGGAAGCGGUAGCAGCGGAGGGGAAGAAGAGGAAGAGAAUGGUGAAGAACCUGAAAAUAAUAAGUACUCUAAUAAUAGCAAUUAUAGGGAUUAUAAUGAUGAACAAGAAGAUAGAGAUCUUUUUGGGUCUGAUAACGAAGAUUAUGUUAAAACCCUGGCCACUAGUCCUUAUCCUAUUCCUGUGUUACCAGUCAUACGCAAUAGCAACAACCAGGGUGGUAGAGGGAACUUUGGACGUGGCGGUUGGCAAAAUGAUAGAGGAGCAGGCCUCCUUCCCCGACCUGGAUUUCCUCCACGACAAGGCUAUGGCUAUGGUUCCAAGUUUUCAAAUGGCCAUCGUGAUGAACGGUUCGUUUCAGAGCUGAAGUUCUCAAAGAGUGAAGAAACAUUGUCGAGGAAAAUGGUUGCUUUUCAGGCGCCUUUUGAACUCAGUUGCUACAGUCGUGUAGAAAGUGGAGAUGUUUACUUUGAUGAUCGCAGCUUGAGGCUUUUUAAACGUUUUAUCUCUGAAGACAUUGGAGCUGACCUGAAUGAAGGCUUCGAUACUUUCAUUGAGAAAAAAGAUUUGGGCUCUGAAGGUUUUGGUGACCUUCUUGGUUGCAUAAGGGACAAAAAAAUUCCACUUCAAAAUAUGCAUUUUGUGACAUUUCGUAACAACCUCAAUAAGAUUUUGGCAACUGCUUAUAUUCGACAUGAGCCUUGGGAGAUGGGGGUGCAUAAAAGGAAUGGGGUUGUUUAUCUUGAUGUACACAAAUUACGAGAAAGGCCACAAAGUGAAUUGGAACGUCGAAGAUGUUAUUGGGGAUAUUGUUUUGAGAGCCUAGCCACGGAAGAUCCAAACAGAGCUGAUGGGGAACGAAUACAUCAUGUAGAUGCCAAUGUUGAAUACUGUUCUGUGUUUAAAACCAAAUUAGGUGCUCAUCGCAUUCUGAUGGGUGCUGAAAUGGAUUGUUGUGAUUCAACUGAUGAUGGGAAAAGGUUUUAUGUGGAGUUAAAGACUAGUCGUGAGGUUUGCAUCUGGAUUAUCAUACUGAGGAAAGAUUUGAGAGAGAGAAAUUGCUCAAGUUCUGGAUUCAAUCAUUCUUGGCUGGGGUUCCUUAUAUUGUUAUUGGAUUUAGAGAUGAUGCAGGUCGACUUGUCCGCACUGAGAGACUUACAACUAAGGACAUAACAAACAGAGUAAAAGCAAAGAACUAUUGGCAGGGAGGUGUAUGCCUAGCAUUUGCAGAUGAGGUACUAUGCUGGCUCUAUGGAACAGUAAAAGAAAAUGAAGAUUAUAUUUUGCAGUUUGCUCCGCCUUACACACGCUUGGAGCUUCUGCAAGCCCAAUCUUGUCCAGAUGCAAUUACAAACCAUGUUUUGCAAUUGUAGAACAUUUCUUUAAAAGUGAAUAUAGUUAAAUUUGCUGAAAUAGGUGGAAAUUUUUUAAUUACAUUUUACAAAACUAAUUAAUUCAAAUUUUUAUGACAAUUACUCUGAGUUGAGAAUAUUUAGUUGGUGAGAUGGAAGCACUGGCCAGGGAACUUGACCAAGGAGCCUCUGUGCAAGUCGCCAUGACCAUCCUUGUACAUUUCUCACACCAUCGCCGCCACAGCCAUCGGAUCUUUAUUUUCUCUCCUAACAAGCCAACGGUUCUUCCUUUCUUCGUUGUAUUGCAAUUUCGGGUUUGGUCCAGGCCAAGUGCAUUCGUAUUUGUUACUCGUUUUUCCCUGAGGUCUCUUUUGAGGUUGUAGGUUCAGUUCUUUGAUCCUUUUCUAGUUUUUCCUAUUUUAUUGUGUAUUUAGUAGUCUUGUAUUCAUUGAUUAGAAAAUGGAAACAGUUCAUAAACUAAUUGUAUUUGACUUUUUACCAGUUAUAGGAUACGACUUGCAUGAUA